rnacentral:rRNA from 1 species
GUUAUAUGGUCAAGUGAAUAAGCGCACAUGGUGAAUGCCUUGGCGAUAAGAGGCGAUGAAGGGCGUAGUGAUCUGCGAAAAGCAUUGGUGAGCUGAUAACGAGCUUUGAUCCAAUGAUUCCCGAAUGGGGCAACCCAGCUAGCGUAAGCUAGUUAUCCUAACCUGAAUACAUAGGGUUAGGAGGCAAACCCGGAGAACUGAAACAUCUAAGUACCCGGAGGAAAAGAAAUCAACCGAGAUUUCCCUAGUAGCGGCGAGCGAACGGGAAACAGCCUGCAAGUGAUAKUWUWUGUAKUAGUGGAAUCARCUGGRAAGYUGAGCGAUACAGGGUGAUAGCCCCGUACACGAAAMUGCGKAWWUGGUACUAGGCUUGCGACAAGUAGGGCGGRGCACGAGAAACYUUGUCUGAACAUGGGGGGACCAUCCUCCAAGGCUAAAUACUMCUUAUCGACCGAUAGUGAACCAGUACCGUGAGGGAAAGGCGAAAAGAACCCCGUUAAGGGGAGUGAAAUAGAACCUGAAACCGUGUGCGUACAAGCAGUAGGAGCAUAYUURUUAUGUGACUGCGUACCUUUUGUAUAAUGGGUCAGCGACUUAAUUUAUGUAGCGAGCUUAACCGAAUAGGGGAGGCGAAGGGAAACCGAGUCUGAAUAGGGCGACUAGUUGCAUGGAUUAGACCCGAAACCUGGCGAUCUAUCCAUGGCCAGGGUGAAGGUGGGGUAACACCUACUGGAGGCCCGAACCCACGUAUGUUGAAAAAUGCGGGGAUGAGCUGUGGAUCGGAGUGAAAGGCUAAUCAAGCCAGGAGAUAGCUGGUUCUCCUCGAAAGCUAUUUAGGUAGCGCCUCGCGUCUCACUCUUGGGGGUAGAGCACUGUUACGGCUAGGGGGUCAUCCCGACUUACCAACCCGUUGCAAACUCCGAAUACCAAGAAGUGCAAUCGCGGGAGACACACRGUGGGUGAUAACGUCCAUYGUGRAAAGGGAAACAACCCAGACCAUCAGCUAAGGUCCCAAAAUUAUCACUCAGUGGAAAACGAUGUGGGAAGGCAUAGACAGCUAGGAGGUUGGCUUAGAAGCAGCCAUUCUUUAAAGAAAGCGUAAUAGCUCACUAGUCGAGUCGGCCUGCGCGGAAGAUUUACCGGGGCUUAAGUGAUAUACCGAAGCUAUGGAUGCGGUGCAUCUUUAAGUUUAUUUAGACAAAGCUGCCAUCGAAGAUGGCCAAGCGGCCCCCGAACGUUGAGUUGGGCGUGUGAGAAAGUUUUAAUAAGUAGAUUUAAAGAUGCACCGCAUGGUAGAGGAGCGUUCUGUAAGCGGAUGAAGCCGUCCUGUAAGGGGUGGUGGACGUAUCAGAAGUGCGAAUGCUGACAUGAGUAACGAUAAAGGGGGUGAGAGGCCCCCUCGCCGAAAAUCCAAGGUUUCCUGCUCAACGCUAAUCGGAGCAGGGUGAGUCGGCCCCUAAGGCGAGGCAGAAAUGCGUAGUCGAUGGGAAACAGGUUAAUAUUCCUGUACCUCUUGUWACUGCGAUGGGAUGACGGAGAAGGUUAGAUCAGCACGGCGAAUGGUUGUCCGUGUUCAAGCGUGUAGGUGGGCUGUUUAGGUAAAUCCGGACGGCUGUAUAACACUGAGGCGUGAUAACGAGUCCAUUAUUGGAUGAAGUGAUUGAUACCCAGCUUCCAAGAAAAGUCUCUAAGCUCUAGGUAACAAGGGACCGUACCCCAAACCGACACAGGUGGAUGGGAUGAGAAUUCUAAGGCGCUUGAGAGAACUCUGGUGAAGGAACUAGGCAAAAUAGCACCGUAACUUCGGGAGAAGGUGUGCCCCUAUUAAGUGAAGCGACUUGCUCGUGGAGCAGAACGGGGUUGCAGUGAAAUGGUGGCUGCGACUGUUUAUUAAAAACACAGCACUCUGCAAACUCGCAAGAGGACGUAUAGGGUGUGACGCCUGCCCGGUGCCGGAAGGUUAAUUGAUGAGGUUAGAACUUCGGUUCGAAGCUUUUGAUCGAAGCCCCGGUAAACGGCGGCCGUAACUAUAACGGUCCUAAGGUAGCGAAAUUCCUUGKCGGGUAAGUUCCGWCCUGCACGAAUGGCGUAACGACUUCCCCACUGUCUCGACCCGGGACUCAGCGAAAUCGACUUUGGGGUGAAGAUGCCCCAUACCCGCGGAUAGACGGAAAGACCCCGUGAACCUUCACUGCAGCUUGGCACUGGUUUUCGGGCUUACCUGUGUAGGAUAGGUGGGAGACGUUGAAGCGGGGCCGCUAGGUUCUGUGGAGUCAACCUUGAAAUACCACCCUGAUAAGUCUGGAAACCUAACCGCGGCCCGUUAUCCGGGUCCGGGACACUGCCUGGUGGGUAGUUUGACUGGGGCGGUCACCUCCGAAAGAGUAACGGAGGCGCGCAAAGGUUCCCUCAGGCUGAUUGGAAACCAGCCGUAGAGUGUAAAAGCAGAAGGGAGCUUGACUGCAACACAUACAAGUGAAGCAGGGACGAAAGUCGGCUUUAGUGAUCCGGUGGUUCUGUGUGGAAGGGCCAUCGCUCAAAGGAUAAAAGGUACGCCGGGGAUAACAGGCUGAUCUCCCCCAAGAGUUCAYAUCGACGGGGAGGUUUGGCWCCUCGAUGUCGGCUCAUCGCAUCCUGGGGCUGUAGKMGGUCCCAAGGGUUUGGCUGUUCGCCAAUUAAAGCGGUACGCGAGCUGGGUUUAGACCGUCGUGAGACAGGUCGGUCCCUAUCUGGCGUGGGUGUAGGAUGAUUGUGGAGGUUUUCCCUUAGUACGAGAGGAUUAGGGAGGACGACCCUCUGGUGUUCCAGUUAUCACGCUAGUGGUAUAGCUGGGUAGCUACGGUCGGAACGGAUAAGCGCUGAAUGCAUCUAAGCGCGAAGCUUUCUCCAAGACGAGUCAUCCCUAUCAGUCCCCUGGGAGACUACCAGGUUGAUAGGCCGGCGGUGUAAGCAUGGCAACAUGUUGAGCUUACCGGUACUAAUAGGACGAUCGGCUUAACCAC